CCACUUCAAGACUUAUUCGCAAUAGCAGCUUCUCUGAGAUUGUCCAGACCCCAUGUUAACUCAGUGCUUGGAUGACUAUUGAAGGCAAGCGUUGCUUUAUAAAUUCUGACACUUUUUACUUUGUUUAUCCUGAAAGCAAUUUCACCACUUUCAAAACCCUUUUGAAAACAGGCAGCAUACGCAGGCACCUUCUGCGGUUAAUUUUAGCCACAAGUCUCCUGUGUUCCUUUUAGUGUUGUCCCAUGUCACAACCUUGGCAGCGAAGUCAACAGAUCUGUCGAGUACAGAGCAUGCCGUAGAUCUAUU